rnacentral:tRNA from 1 species
GUGGCCGAAUGGUUACGCUGUCCGCUUUGUAAGUGGAUGAUUAUGGGUUCGAUUCCCAUC